GAUGAACGCUAGCGGCAGGCCUAACACAUGCAAGUCGAGGGGUAGAACACUUCGGUGUUUGAGACCGGCGCACGGGUGCGUAACGCGUAUGCAAUCUACCUUAUACAGGGGAAUAGCCCAGAGAAAUUUGGAUUAAUGCCCCAUAGUGUUAUAGAAUCGCAUGGUUUUAUAACUAAAGUUCCAACGGUAUAAGAUGAGCAUGCGUCCCAUUAGUUAGUUGGUAAGGUAACGGCUUACCAAGACAAUGAUGGGUAGGGGUCCUGAGAGGGAGAUCCCCCACACUGGUACUGAGACACGGACCAGACUCCUACGGGAGGCAGCAGUGAGGAAUAUUGGUCAAUGGGCGCAAGCCUGAACCAGCCAUGCCGCGUGCAGGAAGACGGUCCUAUGGAUUGUAAACUGCUUUUCCAGGGAGAGAAACUUACGCACGUGUUGCGUGACUGACGGUACCCUGGGAAUAAGCAUCGGCUAACUCCGUGCCAGCAGCCGCGGUAAU
rnacentral:rRNA from 1 species